UGGCCAAUCAUCAAUUGCCAAGCUCCCAAG
rnacentral:piRNA from 1 species